UUUAGAAGGGCAGAGAAUACGAUACACAGUGUUGAGCAAUUGAUAAUCCUCUGAAGGUUGCUUACUGCUUGAAUCAUUCCACUUUCCUUUCUUGUAGUUGUUGUUACCCCCUCUUCUUUUAAACUGGAUAUUAGGGCGUUUCUUCGAAAAGGUUUCGAUUGUUCCCAUUCAAUCAUACCCCUCAAUACUAAAAACUAAUAACUGAAGCGGACUAAAUUUUAAGCAAACCUUAAUACCUGGAUUAAGCAAAAGAAUAAAAAAAGUCGCCAUUACUGCGAAAGAGCCGAAUGCCACACUAAUUUUCUCAAGCAAUGAAACUGGGCUCAUCAUUCCCAAUUUCGAACGGAACACUAAAUUAAGCAAAAGCUAUUGAAUUCAGGGAUUGCCAAUACAAAAGUUAAGGUACCUUGAUCUGGUAAAGUAUUUCCAACGAGCUAGCAGCCGUAAUUCGGGAGCGUUAGGCUUCGAGCCAUCGCCCUAGGGUUCCAAAAACCAAACCUAAUCAGCUCAAGUACAAAACUGGAAGCAAAAAGGACACACCUUAUGGGAUAACCAAGCUUAUACAACAUCAAAUUCAAGCGCUGCAUUUUCUUUUCUGGGAACUAACCAAAACAAAUAAUGCAAGAAAAAAGUUGGAAACUUUAGUUAAUUCUUAACGACAGGAAACAAUGAUUUAGAUGGAGGGUGAUCGGAGAAAUGAGAAGAACAUAGCACAGGCCAGUCAGUAAAACUGUAAGAUUAUGGUUUGUGGGGGAAGUUAAUGAAAAGUUUUUACCUUUUUACGUACCGGAGCGCGCGCGCGCAGAGAGAGAGAGAGAGAGAAGAGAGAGAGAGAGAAGAGAAUGAGAGGUAAAGGGAGUGUGGCUACCGCUUGCCGGGGCGACUGGCGGUCCCCAUCUUCGGAGAGGAGAGACAUGAAUCGAGGUAAUGGAGCUUGAAGUCUUGGACUUGCAGAGUUUUGUCUGUAUUUUUUUAAGGUGGAAAAGGAGAUGGGCUUCGACCCAUUUCCGAAUUCUUAGGAAAGGGCCAAACUUAACUUCGACCCAUUUCAAAUUCGACAUGUCACAAGAGGUCCUGUGCAUGUCCAAUUUGAAAAAAAUCCAGAAAUAUUCAAAGAUUUUUUGUGGGUUUAGAUUUUGCAGUAUAUACAGAACACAAAUUGGUUCAUCACGUAUCAUAAUAUAAGGAGAGAGACACAAAAAAUGUAUAUUUAUCCAAUAUCCACUUUAUUAUGAUAUAUACAUAAUGUACCGACUUGUGUUUUGAGUACAUAAAAUUUUUUUCUCCCUUUACUGAUGUUAAUUCCAAAUUCUAAUGGAGUUGAUCCUCGUGGGAAUAUCUAAAUAUUUCAAUGUUAAAACUUUAAAAUAAAGGAUAAAAUUCAGUGACAGAUCCAUUCAAAAAUAAGAGGAAACUGAGGUGUACUCCGUCAAUUAUUUCUUCAUCGGCUUCUACAAGUUAGGUUAUUAUUCUUACAAAGACAACACCAAAACUAGAUUUCUUCUCGCUCAAGAAAGCCCCAAGAGCAUUUAGCUCUGAACUAGUUUGGUAUUUUUCAUCGUUCCUACAUGAAACAAUGCAACGACAGACUGUUUUUCAGUCACGACCUUUGCAAACAGAUGGCUUUGAUGGAAACAGUUUUAUGAAUAGGGAUGCCCAUUGUACCAUUCAAUCAUCCAAUUCAUCCCUAAAAUUCUGCAAAAGAUUUUGUCAACAAUAUUCUUUUCGUUUUUUUCUUUUCUUAAAACAAUGAUCUAAUCGGAUAAAUGGUUGCUCAUGGAUGAUAGAGUAUUCGGAAGAUAGUCCAUCUAGUGAAGAAAAAAAAAAUUAGGAAAUUGAAUCCAUCAUGAUGGAGACUGUUAGGAAUCGAGCCCCAGAUUAAAAACUCCGUCAAGUUACAGUUAAUAGACUGCACGUGAGCUCCAAGUGCAAGGUUAAAUUCAUCAUUUCAGCUCUAUUAACCCAGUAAGCGUUCAAAUCAGCCUAUACAGCGUCCCUCCCCUAGUCUGAAAGACUAAAACGAUGAAAUCGCUAUCUACGUGUGGGUGCUGGAGUUUUUGCUGAAAAUUGGGGUGGGAGACUGAGAGGCUCUCGAUUUGAAAUCGUCGACUCGAAUCUAAAAGCUCUGAAGUUCCAACACCAAUUACAGAAAACAAUAGGCCUUCCUUCCCAUUUUAGCUCGCCGAUUCAUACAGAACCAAUUUCAUGUAAUUUGGCUUUCUUUGUUUUUCUUACAACUUGCAUUGUUUGAGUCAUUUGAUUAACUGGGUUUUAUUGUUUCUUUGUUUUGGGUUUCAAUGAGUUCAGUUGGAAGAAUCGCCACCGAAUUAUGUUUUGGUUUUGAACUCAAACUUCUCUUACCCAAAAAUAAGUCAAAUAAGCAAGUAGCCCUCUACCACAGUAGUGAAGUGGAGUGUUACUCUUACACCAUGAUAUGGGUUCGAACCCUGUUGGCUCUCUAAUCUAACAUUUAAUCUAACAAAUGUAUUGUUUGACAAAAAAAAAAAAAAUCAAUCAAAUAAAUAUAAACAGAAGAAAGCAGCAGAGAGACAAAAUUUGCAGUCAAAAUCGUUUUACACCCCUGCAAAUCUGUGAGAGUUGAGAUGUGGGUUAUUAGUGGAGGCAAAAUGAUAUUUUUCCCUUUUGCCAGUGUGAAACAAAAGAGGUGUAAUGUGUUAACAGAUGUAUAGUAACUAAUUUAACUUUGCACGUGAGGAUCACGGCAACAUAUUAACGAGACUUAACAUAAAUUUUAAGUUGGGGUUCAAUUCCUAACAAUCCUCAUUACAAGAGUUUAUUUCCUAAUUUGUUUACUACAUGGACUAUUUUCCGAAUACUAUAUAACUACGAAAACCAUUUAUCCGAUUAAGCCUUCCAAACAAAGAAAAAGCAAUUGACGUCAUAAAUAUGUCAAACAUCAAUUUGGCUUCCAAGUGUUAUGAGAUUUUUUUUUUUCGUACGUAUGGCAAAGUCUUGCAUUGUACAUUAGUCUAGGUUGUUGAAUUGUGGCCAAGUGGCCAAGUGGACAACAAAACAAAACCAAAAUAAAAAAAGGUGAAAGACAUCAUGAUGAGGAGGCAUCAUGAUUAUGUUUGUUGAAAAGGAAAAUUGAUGGUCAUGAUGAUGUUUUUGAGUUUUUUAUUGGGUGCUUUUGUAUUGAUGAAGUGAGGAUACAGAAGUGAGAAAGAGAGAGGAAGGAGUGUGCACCAUUUUCUGUUUUAGUAGUCCAUCUUUGAGAGAGCAAAGAGAGUUGCAGAGAGCAGAAAAGAAGAAGAAGGUGCUCUUCUUUUUGGUUAGCAAUCAUCCAUCAUAGUUAUUGUUGUAAUAGCUUUGAGCUACAUGUAUAGAGAAGAAAUUAUUCAUUAUAUUUCUUUCUCUAUUUGUUUCUGUGGUGUGUGAGAGCUAUUGGGUGUAUUGGGUUAUUUGGGUUGUGAGAUUACCAACACUUUGUAAACUCCCAUUUGGUUGAUAGUGGAUUAUUGGGUGAGCUCCUACUGCUCCGAGAACGUACUCCAGUUACACUGACUGUUGAGGAACCUAGUUAAAAUCUUGGUGUCUUUAAUAUUUUGUUCUUGCAUUUCAUUUGAUAUAUUUCCUGUGGGUUAUCAAGAGUUGGUUCCAUAAGGUUUGGUGAUGUCCUAGCACAACAAUUGGUAUCAGAGGUUACAGGUUGUGGUGUCCAGAGAUGAAAAAACUUGUAAUAAGCAGAGAUGUGACAUUUGAUGAAGAAAGUAUGUUCAAAGACUCUGAGAAGAAUGUGAAAGAUGUCCAAUAGGUGGAGCUUGAGAAAGUUGCCUCUGGUACUUCAAAUCCUAUUUCCGCUGAUGUCGAAGCCACUACAAGUGAAGAAGUUGGAGACCAUAAGGAUGUUGAAGAAGUUGAACUUGAAGAUUCUAUUCAAGUUGAAGAGCAAGUUUCACCUCAAGAGUCUAUUGCCAAGAACAGAAGAAAGAGACAAAUUACCAAGCCAGCUCGGUAUAGUGACUAUGUUUCUUUUGCUCUUCCUAUUAUCACUGAUGAGAUUCCAUCCAAUUUCGAGGAAGCCAUUGAGAGUGAAGAGAAGAAGAGGUGGUGCAAUGCCAUGGGUGAUGAAAUGAAUUCUCUCUUGAAGAACAAGACUUGGGAGUUAGCUAAAUUGCCUAAGGGCAAGAAAGCUAUCGGUUGCAAAUGGGUGUAUGCCAAGAAGGAAGAUGCUGAUGAGAAAAGCAAUGUGAGAUUUAAAGCAAGAUUAGUUGUUAAAGGGUAUGCACAAAAGGAGGGCAUUGACUACAAUGAAAUAUUUUCUCCGGUUGUGAAACACUCCUCAAUUCGUAUUAUGUUAGCUCUUGUUGCACAAUAUGAUCUUGAGCUUGUGCAACUUGAUGUGAAGACGGCUUUCCUACAUGGUGAUUUGAAUGAAGAGAUUUAUAUGUGUCAACCGGAUGGGUAUAUAGUGAAAGGGAAGGAGAAUUUGUUUUGCAAAUUGAAGAAAUCACUUUAUGGCUUGAAGCAAUCUCCAAGGCAAUGGUAUUUGAGGUUUGAUAAAUUUAUGAGAGGCCAAAAUUAUUCUAGAAGUCAAUAUGAUCAUUGUGUGUACUUCAAGAAGUUGCAAGAUGAGUCUUUCAUUUAUUUGUUGAUAUAUGUUGAUGAUAUGUUGAUUGCCUCAAAGAAUGUUGAAGAGAUUGAAAAAUUGAAGAAGCAAAUGAAGAAUGAGUUUGAGAUGAAGGAUCUUGGUGAAGCGAAGAAGAUCCUUGGCAUGGAGAUCACUAGAGAUAGAGAGAAGGGUUUGGUCAGUUUGAAUCAAAGACAAUACCUUGAGAAGUUGAUUCGGAAGUUUGGAGUUCAUGAUUCAACCAAACCGGUUAGUACCCCUUUGGCUCCUCAUUUUAAAUUGAGUUCUCUACAAUGUCCUAAAAAUGAUAAAGAGAAGCUGCAAAUGAAAAAUAUACCAUAUGCAAAUUUGGUUGGUAGUUUGAUGUAUGCAAUGGUAUGCUCUAGACCGGAUAUUGCUCAUGCAGUUGGCAUGGUGAGUCAAUAUAUGCAUAAUUCAGGUAAAGAGCACUGGCAAGCAGCUAAGUGGAUAUUGAGAUAUCUCCAUGGUACUCGAGAUGUUGGUUUAUGCUUUGAGAGGGAUGACUCUGGUAUUGGUCAUUUUGCAGUUGGUUAUGUUGAUUCAGAUUAUGCAGGUGAUCUGGAUGGAAGGAAAUCUACUACAUGCUAUGUGUUUACUAUGGCUAAAUGACCAGUUUGUUGGAGGUCCAUUUUGCAGUCGUCUGUUGCCUUGUCUACUACAGAGGCUGAAUAUAUGGCAGUUGCUGAAGCUAUAAAGGAGGCCAUUUGGACACAUGGGCUGAUUAGAGAUUUGGGGGUUGAUCAGAAGCAAGUGGAGGUACAUUGUGAUAGUCAGAGUGCCAUUUAUUUGGCUAAGUAUCAGGUUCAUCAUGCGAGGACCAAGCACAUAGAUGUGCGUUAUCACUUUGUUCGUGAAAUUGUUGGUGAAGGGGAAAUCAUUCUCCAGAAGAUUCCAACUAAAGACAACCCCGCUGAUAUGUUGACUAAGGUUGUUGGUGUAGCCAAGUUUGUUCAUUGCUUGAACUUGGCUCACAUUUUGCCUAUAUAAAGAAGGCGUUGAGCAGUAGGAGUUUUGGAGCAUUUGGCUCGGCAUGCGUUGUUCUCUUGCUAGUGUUUGGGAGUGAUGUUGUGUGUUAAUUGUGUUGGUUGGCUUAUCAUGGCGUUUUUCGGAACUUGGCCAAGGUGGAGAUUGUUGAAUUGUGGCCAAGUGGCGAAGUGGACAACAAAACAAAACAACUUUCGGCUAAUAAACAAACCAAAAUAAAAAAAGGUGAAAGACAUCAUGAUGAGGAGGCAUCAUGAUUAUGUUUGUUGAAAAGGAAAAUUGAUGGUCAUGAUGAUGUUUUUGAGUUUUUUAUUGGGUGCUUUUGUAUUGAUGAAGUGAGGAUACAAAAGUGAGAAAGAGAGAGGAAGGAGUGUGCACCAUUUUCUGUUUUAGUAGUCCAUCUUUGAGAGAGUAAAGAGAGUUGUAGAGAGCAGAAAACUGAGAGCAGAAAAGAAGAAGAAGGUGCUCUUCUUUUUGGUUAGCAAUCAUCCAUCAUAGUUAUUGUUGUAAUAGCUUUGAGCUACAUGUAUAGAGAAGAAAUUAUUCAUUAUAUUUCUUUCUCUAUUUGUUUCUGUGGUGUGUGAGAGCUAUUGGGUGUAUUGGGUUAUUUGGGUUGUGAGAUUACCAACACUUUGUAAACUCCCAUUUGGUUGAUAGUGGAUUAUUGGGUGAGCUCCUACUGCUCCGAGGACGUACUCCAGUUACACUGACUGUUGAGGAACCUAGUUAAAAUCUUGGUGUCUUUAAUAUUUUGUUCUUGCAUUUCAUUUGAUAUAUUUCCUGUGGGUUAUCAAGAGUUGGUUCCAUAAGGUGUGGUGCUAUCCUAGCACAACAUAGGUAUCAUAGUGUAGGUACAUUAAUUAGUCUCGGUGCCAUAGUGGAGGUGCAAUGGUGUAGGUACAAUAUUUUCUUCUUAAGUGCAUUAGUUUAGUUAUAUUACAUGUUUAGAGGCAAUGAAUUAGUCUAGGUAUAAUAGUGUAGGUACAAUCAUACUUAUGUAGAAAUUUCCUAAUGAUUGAAAUAUAAUAUAUUUUUAGAUGGAUUGGCAUAGUAUUAUGAAUAUAAAAUGGUUUAAAUUUGGAAGGAGGAUGAAAGUAGUUUGGUUGAUGCUCAAAUAUUUAAAGUUCAAUCUAUUUAAAAUAAUAAGAAAUCAAGCUAUAAAUGAGAUUUUAAAAGUAUAAUACUUUUUUUUGUCAAACGAUAGAUUUUGUUAGAUUAGUCAUCGAUGAGAUUUGAACCCUCGCCGUCAUACAAUGGCUCAACACCUUUCUACCAAAAACAGAAAUGACUAGACAUGUGGGAUAUGAAUGCUAACAUAAAUACAAGGUUAAAGGUCUAAACAUUCUUGAAGUUGGAGUUUAUUACCGAAUCGGGAACACAUGCAUUAUACAUUCUUUAGGCCCAAAAACAGAAAGAGUCUGCAGAAAUCCCUUAUCAUUAUUCCUUGAGCAAAUUCUAAAAACUUCCUCAAAAGUGACAGAAACAAAUAUCAAUGCAAAAUGAGUAAACUGUUUAAGAUGAAUUGAAGGACCAAGGUUUUCCUUUUUUGUUGAUCAAAAAUAUUCCAGCUCCGUAAGUAGAAAUGAAGAUCUCAACAAGAAGGGAAAAUUGCAUCCAUACGAAGGAGACAACCGGAACACUAGCAAGUAAAAUGAUCGGAGCCACUAUCCACUCUUUUGCUUCCAGCAUAAGAAAAAGGGUUGAAGAAAACGCGAUCAUCAUGGUAACGAUAGAGGAGAAAAGGGUGAAAAGGCCUAUCAUCAUCUUUGUUGGCAGUGAUUUCAGGAAAUCAUCUUCAGCAUAACGCGAGUUGAGGAUUCCUAAGAAUGUCACAACUGAAGUUGUAGAAGAAAAAAGUGAAAAGACAUCCGCGGCUAUGAAAACCAUAAAUAUCCUUUUAUUUAAAAACACGGGAAAGCCUGCCUUGAUUCCACCAGGAACUGAGAACACUGCAAUAAACAUAAUUGUAACAAUAAGAGCAGCUACAACCGUACAAGAAGUUGCAGUUGCUUUCAUUGAUCUUUCACAUUCGUUUGCCAAUUCCUUGUGGUUCUUUGUAAAUAGGUCACGGGCGGUCAUGCCAUCUGUAUAGUUAACAACUUCAAGAAACUUGGAAGGUACAAUUUUCUCCACCUCCUGCAUUUCAGUGAAUUGAAGAAACUUAAAUAUCUUUCUUUAAUUUAUUUUCUUCAAAGGCACUCAAAUCUAAUCCCAAGUAAUUAAUAUUUUUGUACUCUUACAAAUCCUUGAUGUAUGCCCUUUGACCUUGAAUAUAUAUGCUAGGAAUCGAGAUGGAGACUGUUAGGAAUCGAGCCCCAGAUUAAAAACUCCGUCAAGUUACAGUUAAUAGAUUGCACGUGAGCUCCAAGUGCAAGGUUAAAUUCAUCAUUUCAGCUCUAUUAACCCGGUAAGCGUUCAAAUCAGCCUAUAAAGCGUCCCUCCCCUAGUCUGAAAGACUAAAACCAUGAAAUCGCUAUCUACGUGUGGGUGCUGGAGUUUUUGCUGAAAAAUGGGGUUGGAGACUGAGAGGCUCUCGAAUUGAAAUCGUCGACUCAAAUCUAAAAGCUCUGAAGUUCCAACACCAAUUACAGAAAACGAUAGGCCUUCCUUCCCAUUUUAGCUCACCGAUUCCUGCCGAACCAAUUUCAUGUAAUUUGGCUUUCUUUGUUUUUCUUACAACUUGCAUUGUUUGAGUCAUUUGAUUAAUUGGGUUUUAUUUUUUCUUUGUUUUGUGUUUCAAUGAGUUCAGUUGGAAGAAUCGCUACCGAAUUAUGUUUUGGUUUUGAACUCAAACUUCUCUUACCCAAAAAUAAGUCAAAGAAGCAAGUGGCCCUCUACCACAGUGGUGAAGUGGAAUGUUGCUCUUACACUAUGACGUGGGUUCGAACUCCGUUGGCUCUCUAAUCUAACAUUUAAGCUAACAAAUGUAUCGUUUGACCAAAAAUAAAUAAAUCAAUCAAAGAAAUAUAAAUGGAAGAAACCAGGAGAGAGACAAAAUUUGCAGUCAAAAUCGUUUUACACCCCUGCAAAUCUGUGAGAGUUGAGAUGUGGGUUAUUAGGGGAGGCUAAAUGAGAUUUUUCUGUUUUGUUAGUGUGAAACAGAAAGAGGCGUAAUGCGUUAAUAGAUGUAAAGUGACUAAUUAGUGUAGGUACAUUAAUUAGUCUCGGUGCCAUAGUGGAGGUGCAAUGGUGUAGGUAUAAUAUUUUCUUCUUAAGUGCAUUAGUUUAGUUAUAUUACAUGUUUAGAGGCAAUGAAUUAGUCUAGGUAUAAAAGUGUCGGUACAAUCAUACUUAUGUAGAAAUUUCCCAAUGAUUGAAAUAUAAUAUAUUUUUAAAUGGAUCGGCAUAGUAAUAUGAAUAUAAGAGCAAUUCCACCGGAGUGGAUUUUGCCCAGGACCCAGGAGAAAAACAGGGCCAGCACCCUGUCAAUCAACUCCAUCCCUUCAUGUUGACUGGUACCCAGCCCGAGCUGGGCAAGAGCCCAGCGCAAAAGAGACUGAGACAGAAGCCGGGGAGUUGGCCUGGCGCGUGCGCUUCACGCAGGCGUGGCGCGAGUGCCCGACAAGGUUUCAGAGCACGGGCCCGCGUGCAGGCGCACUCAGUCCCCCCCCCCCCGAGUUGGCGACGUGGCUUCCCUUAUGCCGUUGGAUUUCCAACGGCUAGUUUUCUAGACCGUUGGAUUUCCAACGGUAAAAAAAAAUUUAAAUUUUACUUUUAAAAUAGACCGUUGGAUCAAAGAUCAAUGGUCCAAGUUUUUUUCACAAAAAGUAAAUAAAAAAAAAGCCCAACGGUCAUAAAAAUGACCGUUGGCCACGUGGCAACUCCCUAGCUCUUGGAUUUGAAUAUUUUUCAAAUCCAACGGUUCAGAUUAAUUAAAUAUAUUAAAAUUCAUUAAAAAUUAUUAAAAAAUACAGAAAAAUUAUUAAAAAAUACAGAAAAUUUUGAAAAAUGUUAAUUUUUUCCUAUAAAUACCUAACCCUCAUCUUCUACCUUUACACCACAUUUCAAUAUUUUCUACACUUUCUAUACUAUCUACAUUUCAAUAUUUUCUACAUUUCAAGAGAAAAAUGUCUUCGUGGAAGCUCAUUGAAGAUGUUACGUUGUGUGAAUGUUGGGUUCACACUACUCAUGAUCCGAUUACGGGUAAUGAGAUGGAUAAGCGAGAAAUGUGGAGUAAAAUUACGAAAGCGUUUUGCGAUGUACAUGGAGAAAACGCCAGAACUAGUCAAGGUCUUCAAGGUCGUUGGAAAAAACUAAACGCAUCCUUUACUUGUUGGAAAAACGUCAUCUCUCAUGCUUCCGGUAACCUCCGUAGUGGGACAAGUUUAGCGGAUCAGGUGACAAUAUUUUUAUUUAUUUAUAUGCAUUCCACUCACAUUAAUAUUUUGAUUUAUUUAAUUUCAUAUGUAAUUUUUAUGUUAUUUCUUAUGUAAUUUUUAUGUAAUUUUUAUUUAAUUUCUUAUGUCAUUUUAUUUAAUUUCUUAUGUCAUUUUUAUGUAAUUUAUAUGCAUUCCACCCGUAUCAAUAUUUUGAAUUUAUUUAUUUGUGUUACACCCGCAUGUAAUUAACACUAUAUUAUCCCACAUUUUUAUAGACACUACAAGCUCAAGCAUUCUACAAUUCAAAGAACGGGAACAAAUCAUUCACUAGAUGGGAAUGUUGGCAAAUUGUCAAAGAUUGCCCUAAAUACAAAAUUGUGGCAACUAGUCCAGAAGUUGUCAUGCACGGUAUGGGUCUACAUAGUUCUCCAGAACCAGACAUGGCCGAACAAGAAGCCGACACAUUUCAAGACACGGAAGGGAUGCCUGAACAAGUGCCCGAGACCUAACCGACUCGUCAGUCCCUCAGGCCCGUAGGUAAAAAGGCGUCAAAGAAAAAAGGUAGUUCUUCCAAGAAUGACUACACUAAAUAUAUGGAGGAACUUGCUCGCCAAGGUGAACUGUACAUGGCACGAGAAAAGGUUAGAGAUGAGGAAAAAGUUGCUGCUAUGGCAGCAAUAUUAGCAGCUACUGAGGCCCGUGAUGCGGCGACUGAGAGACAAACAGAAAUAGUUAAUCGAGAGAACGAGCUGGUUAGAGAAGCACUUCAUCGAGAAAAUGAAUUGCUUCGAGAAGAAAGGAUGGCUCAAGCAGAUCGUGACACUAUGAGCAAGUCUCUAGUAGGACUGUCUCCGAAUUCUAAAUAUUUUUGGACAUCGGAAAAAAGAGAUGUCAUGCGAAGGAGGCGUGCAAGAGAUGCGGAAACAAGUCAAGGGGGUUCUAGCUACUUUUGUGACAACCAAGAUCCUAGCACCACAUAUCCUAACUCGAGAGACUUUGUAUAAUUUUUAUGUAUUUUUUAUGUUUUUUCUUUCUUUUUUCUUUUGAACUUUAUUUAAUUUCUUAUGUCAUUUCUUAUGUUUUUUUCUUUUUUUAGGUUUGAACUUUAUUUAAUUUCUUAUGUAAUUUUUAUGUAAUUUCUUAUGUAAUUUUUAUGUUAUUUCUUAUGUAAUUUUUAAAACUUUAUUUAUUUUUAUUUAAUUUAUUAUGCAAUUUGAAUGUAAUUCUUUAUUUAUUUUUAAAACUUUAUUUCUUUUGUACUUUAUUUAAACACAUGAAAUAAGAUUACAUAAACUCACCAAAUAAAUUUAAAAACAAAACACACUACAUAGAAUUACAUAAACUCACCAAAUAAAUAGAAUUACAUAAACUCACCAAAUAAACUUAAAAACAAAACACACUACAUAGAAUUACAUAAACUCACCAAAUAAACUUAAAAACAAAACACACUAUAUAGAAUUACAUAAACUUAAAAAAAAAUACAAUUUAUUCUUCAACCACAAGCCUCAUUCUAAUUAUCUUCGCCUUCAUGCAAUCCCCAUUGGUGCUCAAUCAAGUCAUUCUGGCGAGUUACGUGCCAGUAUGGCUCUUGCACAUUAGUGUACCGCUGAACAAUCAAUUCAUUGUAACGUCCAUCGCAUUCCAACGGCUCGUGUUGCACUGGAUCUUCGGUCCCAUCAUGAGCACAAUAGAUACGUGUUCUUGAGUUGUUCAUGGGAUCCGGCUCAUAUUCAUCGACGGCAUCAUAAUCAUACUCAUCUUCAACAAUCAUGUUGUGGAGAAUAAUACACGUCAUCAUGAUGGAUCGAAGAGCCUCGACAUCAAACAUUCUAGCUGCAGCCCUGAUAAUCGCCCAACGAGCUUGCAGGAUACCAAAACAACGCUCGACAUCCUUCCUACACCCUUCUUGACAUUUUGCAAAGUGUUUUUCCUUUUCAGUCUGUGGAUGUGCCACUGUUUUGACAAAUGUUGACCACCUUGGGUAAAUGCCAUCUGCAAGGUAGUAUGAUCCCUCGUAUUGGGUACCAUUAAUGGUAUAUGUGCAUCUCGGCGAGUUUCCUUGCAGCAGUUCGUCGAACACUGGGGAUUGGGCAAGGACAUUUAAGUCAUUCUGAGCUCCUGGAACACCAAAAAAAGCAUGCCAAAUCCAUGUAUCAAAUGAAGCCACCGCUUCCAAAAUGAUGCUUUUGGUUCCUUUUCUGUUGCCAUAUGCUCCUUGCCACGCACUUGGACAGUUUUUCCAAGUCCAGUGCAUGCAGUCCAUGCUUCCAAUCAUGCCAGGGAAGCCUCGCAUCUCACCCUUCCUCAGAAGCCUUCGUAUGUCCCUUGGCGUGGGUGUCCGGAGGUACUCAUUGGUGUAGAGGGCUUCAAUUGCAGAGCAAAACCGCAUCAGGGACUCCAAAACAGUUGUUUUUCCCAUCCUCGCGAUCUCAUCCACUUGAUCUGCAGAUGCUCCAUAUGCAAGCAUUCGCAAGGAUGCCGUAAUUUUUUGCUCGGGAAUAAGAUGAAAACCAUCCUCUUUUUGCACAAAGUAUGAAUCAUGGUUGCAAAUAUCACUCAUGAUUUUGUUGAACAAAUUUCGUUGCAUUCUAAAACGCUGUCUAAAAAUAUGAUCAGGGAAUAUGCUAUUGGGAAUAAAAUAAUCUUCCAAUAGAUUUUUACCUCGUUUUUCCCUUUUUCUAUCGAGGUUUGCAACACGUCUUGGUUUGGCUAUCUGACCCACGGCUUCAAUGACACGGCGGGAAUGUGAGGCCUUCUGCCUUCUAUGGUGAUCAUCCUCAUCCUCCUCCAUGAAGAAAGCCUCAUCUCCACCUCCACUUCCACCUUCCUCGAGAUUGGCCAAUUCUGCCUGUUGUGCCAACAACCUUUGUUGUUGCUCCUGCAACUGUUUAUACACCCUUCUUGAAGAAGACAUUGUAAUAAAAACUCAAGAUUUGAAAACGAUGAACAAGGAUUCUGAGCUAAAAAGAAGGAUUGAGCUUGGUGUGAGGAUGGAUGUAGGGAUGUAGGGUUUAUAUGGACAAAAAAAGAAAGGAUGGGGUUCUGGACAAUGCCACGUGGCACUACGUGAUUGGUUGAAAAUCUUAUCGAAAUCUUGGCUAAAUUAUUGUAAACCGGAAGUGACACGUGGCGUGUCGGGAUUGGUCGAAAAUAUUAUCGGAAAUCUAUUCACAAAAUAGUACGUUCAGAUAAUGACAUGUGGCAUGACGAGAUUGGUUAAAAAUCCUAUCCGAAAUUAAAACUAUUUUAUUUUUUUAUUCUUUUAGACAAAAUUUAAAAAUAUUUUAAAUGGGCUGGGUGCCAGCGCAUUUUGUAGGGAUGGAGAUCGUUUGUGCCAACGCAUUUUUUCACUAGGUGCCAGCGCAUUUUUUUAGGGGUGGAGAUGCCUUGGCCUAUUACUGUUCAUUGGAGUCUGUUACUGUUCAUUUGAGUGGAUAAAUGCACUGGGUGCUGGCGCAAAGUCCUUAGGGGUGGAAUUGCUCUAAAAUGAUUUAAAUUUGGAAGGAGGAUCAAAGUUUAGUUGAUGCUCAAAUAUGUAAAGUUCAAUCUAUUUAAAAUAAUAAGAAAUCAAGCAAUAAAUGAGAUUCUAAAAGUAUAAUAUUUUUUUUUGUCAAACGAUAUAUUUUGUUAGAUUAUAUGUUAGAUUAGUCAUCGAAGAGAUUUAAACUCACGCCGUCAUGCAAGGGCUCUCAACACCUUUCUACCAAAAACAAAAAGGACUAAACAUGUGGGAUAUGAAUGCGAACAUAAAUACAAGGUUAAAGGACUAAACAUUCUUGAAGUUGGAGUUUAUUACCGAAUCCGGAAUACAUACAUUAUACAUACAUUAUACAUUAUACAUUCUUUAGGCCCAAAAACAGAAAGAGUUUGCAGAAAUCCUUUAUCAUUAUUCUUUAAGCAAAUUCUAAAAACUUCCUCAAAAGUGACAGAAACAAAUAUCAAUGCAAAAUAAGUAAACUGUUUAAGAUUUGAAAGACCAAGGUUUGCCUUUUUUGUUGAUAAAAAAUAUUCCAGCUCCAUAAGUAGAAAUGAAGAUCUCAACAAGAAGGGAAAAUUGCAUCCAUACGAAGGAGACAACCGGAACACUAGCAAGUAAAAUGAUCGGAGCCACUAUCCACUCUUUUGCUUCCAGCAUAAGAAAAAGGGUUGAAGAAAACGCGAUCAUCAUGGUAACGAUAGAGGAGAAGAGGGUGAAAAGGCCUAUUAUCAUCUUUGUUGGCAGUGAUUUACGGAAAUCUUCUUCAGCAUAACGCGAGUUGAGAAUUCCUAAGAAUGUCACAACUGAAGUUGUUGAAGAAAAAAGUGAAAAGACAUCCGCAAUUAUAAAGACCAUAAAUAUCCUUUUAUUUAAGAACACGGGAAAGCCUGCCUUGCUUCCACCAGGAACUGAGAACACUGCAAUAAACAUAAUUGUAACAAUAAGAGCAGCUACAACCGUACAAGAAGUUGCAGUUGCUUUCAUUGAUCUUUCACAUUCAUUUGCCAAUUCCUUGUGGUUCUUAGUAAAUAGGUCACGGGCGGUCAUGCCAUCUGUAUAGUUAACAACUUCAAGAAACUUGGAAGGCACAAUUUUCUCGACCUCCUGCAUUUCAGUGAAUAGAAGAAACUUAAAUAUCUUUCUUUAAUUUAUUUUCUUCAAAGGCAAUCAAAUCUAAUCCCAAGUAAUUAAUAUUUUUGUACUCUUACAAAUCCUUGAUGUAUGCCCUUUGACCUUGAAUAUAUAUGCUCAAAUCUAAUCCUAAAUAGCCUAACAUUCUGAGUUCGUAACAGUAAUCAACAUUUCAUUUUUGUGAUUUCAUUUUUUUUAGACAGAAUGUGAUUUCAUUUUUAAUUUGGUUGUUUCCUAUAUGAGAGUGCAAAUUGCUGUCACAAAUAAUCAAGUCUAAUCAAGUAAUACCGAUUGACCACGUGAAUAGAACUUUAUACAGUAAAACCUAUUAAUUUAUAGUGGACCUUGUGGAUUGCUUUGGUGGUAAACUCCUUUUUCUUUAACUCACUUCGUCCUAUUAAACUCUCAUCCAUUUAGUCCAGCUUAAAAUAGCAAUAUUGUUUGUAAAAUUUUGGUCCCAAUUUCAGCCGAUCAUAAAUCUAAAUUAUCUCCAUUUUGUAAUAAGCUAUAUUUCUUUUAGAUCACGUCCUAAGAAGAGAGGUGGUGUUUAAAUAGAAUAAUCUCAUAUGGGUUUGAAUGAGGCCACAUACUAAAGUCACUUAAGUUUGUAUUACUUCGUUAUAUAUAAAGAUAUUGGUAAUGGUGGUGGUCAGUUCACAUUUAUAUUGAGUCUGUCAUAAUUCUAUAUCAAAUUCGCUGUCAAUGAGAGUCAAAUUUGAAAUUUGAUCUACAUUAUAGUGAAAUUUGAUUUCUUGAUUAGAAAAAUAUAAAAUAUAUAUAGGAAGAAAUUCUAACCUUAAACCAUUGUAAUUCUCUCUGCAUUUGCAAUGCUGCACAUUGGAUAUGUUUAAGCUGUGCAGGUGGGGAUAACCUCGCUGCUGAAUGUAGUAACGUAUUGUUGAACUUAUCUACUCUGGAUUCAGUACGAACAUUCAUGACUCGGAUAAAGUCAUGGAAAAAGUUAUAGACUUUUUCUUGACGGCAUUCAAUGGAAAACUGAAACAUGCCCUUUUCAUUUUCGUCAUAUAUCCCUAAAGCUAGGAUAUUUGCAGUAAACAGCUGACGAAGAAACUCAUCAUUCCCAUGUUCAACAGCCUUGAAGAGUGCUGUUUGUACGGAACUUCCUUGCAUUUGUUUAAGGCUUAAACCUUCUGUCAUUUUGCACAUGCCUUGUAAAACUUCAAGGGAUUGGACAUGGAUUUGUUUCAUUUUGUACAUGUGAUCGAUUCCUAGGUUGACAUAGAAGAAUUAUUAAUCAUUAAGUUUCGAAAAGUACGACCAAAAGAAGUUCUAAGCGAUGACUGGAUAAAUAUUAGAGUAAAACUUGAACGAAAAGAUUAACAAAGUGUUGAAAUGAAGCAUUACCGAAAAGUUUACAGAGAUUUGAGACGAGCCCUCGCAGUAAAGCCAUAACUACAAUAUUGCAAAUACAAAAAUGUUUUGCAUUAGCUAUUCAAAGAAUUUGUUAAUUAGGUAUGAUCUAGAAGAAAGUAAAAGAUGCGCCUGAGGUCAUAACUCUCGUUUUACAUGGAUAAUACAUACCUGAGCGAAUUAUGAGAUCCCUUUGAUCAUUAACCGGGUCAUUGGCUUGUUUUGAACAUCUAUACGAACAUCACGGAUCCCAGAAGCAUGUCGUAUGUGUAUACCUAUCAAGAAAAUAAACACAUGCCUCUAGUCAAUAUAUAGAACUUUUUUUUAAGUCGAGGGUCUGGACACAUUGAAGCCUUUCUUUUACUGUAUAAAUAUUUAUUUCUGUGAAAAGAGAAACUAAGGUGCAUACCCAAAAUAAAUGAUUAAUGGACACUGAUACCGAUAAAAGUACACAUUAAAUUUUUAACACUUAUUUUUAGACACUAAAAAAUUAACUCUAAGAGAGAAAAUAACUUACACUAAAAUAUUUGAGCAAGACCCAAAACCAAAAUUCUAAUUUAACUCGUAACCUUAAACCUUAACUGCCACCACAUAUUGAAGUUGUGCCGCUAUAGAACUCAUCGCAUCUCACCUUAAAAAAACUUGUGAAACAAUUGAGGGAUCUGUGAACUCGAACUUGAAACACGUUUGUAUAUGAGUACAUCAAAUAUAAGUUUGUCUUAUUUGUCUAUUUGUAUGCAAGGGACUUACCGGCGAAGACAAACAUAAGAGCCAUUUAGGUUUUGGCGCAUUUGUUUUACUAUUUCUUGACUUAAACUAGUGAAGAAAAGCAUAGUGUGGAGACAUAAAUUAAUCACAUCCAAACAUAGUAUGUCAAGUGGAUUAUAAGCUCAAUUUGACAUAACUACCUCGGAUAUCGUGAGAAACCCCCAUCUCCAUUCUAAUGGGUUAAGCACACCAACCCCUCCUACGGACCGGCAAAUGCCACAACUAUCGGGCCCUAACCCCCGAUUCUUGGCAAGCUAGCUAGCAAGCAUUUUGUUUUUCUUCAAGGGACAGGGUUGUCGACCCCUUGCACCUCAGCCCUAUAUGAAGUUGAUGUUCAAUCAUAAAAUUAAUUGACAAUAUAGGGAGUAACCCAAUUCAUUAUAAGUCCUUGCAAUGUUUCUCUUUUCACCAAUGUGGGAUUCUUUACCUUCACAUCAUCACAUAGCCCCUUACGGGUGAUUAACUUUUGAACCAAAUACAUGGAUAACACAAAUUAGGUGAUAUUGAGCACGUGUGACCAUUGGGCUUCAUAACCUAUUGGUGUCUAAGCAGGCAUGGGAAGGGAGACUCAUUGACUUGCCUAAGCCCGCUACGGCCUACUAGUAGACGAUUUAUGGACCUCUUCCACUAUAAGUAGCCAAGUCAUACAAGGAAAUUGGUUUAUCACAAACUCUAUUUAGAACUCUCCAGUGAAUUUUAGUUUUUCUCAAACACUUUUUGACUUCGACAUCGUAGACAUAAAUCUCCAUCCAGACAUAGAAUGCAUUUUAUUGUUUUAAUUUUUUUUCAUAUUAAGUAUAAAAUAUACAAAAAAAAAAUCAGGUUUUGAGAUAAAUCAAGGGGUGUGCUAUCCACACACCCCAUUUUACUUCUCACAUACCCCUUGAUAAUUUCUGUCCGUUGAUCUUCUUCAAUUCAUCCGAUCCGACGGCCGAAAAUUAAAAAGGUGUGUGAGAAGUAAAAUGAGGUGUGUGGAUAUCACACCCCUAAAUCAAAUUGUGGGAAUCGUGUGUAGGAAAUAUCUUAUUGAAAAACGGGCCAACGCCCACCCAACUAGAGGGACAGAGAAAUUAAUAAGGUAUAAAAUUCAUCAUAGAAUAAAGAAUGUAGUUACUAACUGUUAUAGAUCCAUUGUUGCCAGAAUCUGAGACGCGUUCCACUUAAAAAGAGAGAGGGCAUACAAGCCAAUUCCUGUAAAGGUGUUUUCCCAGUAGAGUUUGUGGCAAAUGCCAAGUUUGAACAACGCUGAAUUAAAUCCAAUGCAAUAUCUACAAUAGGGAAAAAAGAAGAAGAAGAAGAAUUAUAUACAUGAAGAAAAAAAGGAAAGUAAUCAAUAUUUGUUAGGGAACAUGCUAUUUAAACACAUUCUUAAAUACAUGUGAGUUCUAUAAAUAAUGAAACGGCCCACCUUAGUUAUAGUGUGUCAGAAAAUGUGUGCGAAUAUUGUAUCUAAAACAUUUAUGUACCCAGUUCUUUGGAGCUAAAACAGUGGGAAAUAAGAUCAGCACCAGUCUGACAGUUAUCUUGGGUCGACGUCAAAGCUUCCAAUGGAGUAACUGAAUAGAGAUAGCGAGCCAAUCCCCAAUGGCCGCCAUGACAAGCCAUGAUUAGUGGGAUCAUAUUCUGGAGAUUGCAUGGUAUGCAAAGUAAUCUCUUGUUCUUUUCGAUUAUGCAUCUAGCCACUUCGGGUACUAUUAGCGUAGCUAAAGUUAUAGCUGUGACACCAUUAGCGUCUUCUAUUUCCAAGUCUUGCUCUGUCAUCAACUCCACUAGUUCUUUCGCCAUAUAUUCGUUUUCCAUUGAAACUGCCAUGUGAAGAGCUGUCGAGCCUGAUAAUGAACCUCUUUCUCUGAUUGCGUCGGGAUGCUUAGUAAGAUACUUCUUUGCAGAACUCCAGUCACCUUUUGCAACAGCAUCAAUCAAGGGUUGAUGGUGGGGGAACUCACUGAAGUCGCCGUUACUUUUAUAAUACUCUGUCAAGUAAUAUUAUUUAUUAUUUGUUAACUGAACAUCAAGAAUUUGGGGACGAAUUAUACAUGAUGUUGAAAUAAAAGAGAACUGAAUGAAAUAAAAUUAAACAAAACAAUAAAGAUUCAUGCAUGCUGCAGUAGAUAUCACAUAAUAUUACCACGUACGUACCCUCAUUCCGCUUCAGACCGGUAUUCAGCUCUUCAUCCUCUGCAUCGAUCACGCAUGGUGACUUUAUUAGAAGAAGAAAACUAAAUCUUAAUAGUUAUAAUAUUGGAUUUAACUUGGAAAGGAGACAUGUAGUACGUGCGUACACGUACCUGUGUUUUCCAAGGCUUGAUCGGCCGGCUUCAACUGUUCAGCCAAAGUAUCCCAGGCGACUUUGGCCGAGCUAAUGCACCGGAUAAUAAAAUAAGUAUCAUCCCCGCAACAAGUUUGGAUUGCAUGUAAAACCUUGGCAUUAUUCUUCCUCCAAACCAUAAAUUCCGCUUCACCAUCUUCUCGUCUAGGAGGUUCAAAGGUCUCUUCCACAACCUCCCAAAGAUCUUCAGCCAACAAGUAGGUUUUAAAGUGGAAACUCCAAUCUUCAUAAUUAUCAUGACUAAGAACUUUAAGAUUAGCAAUUACACUAGAAACAACUGUAGCUGCCAUGUUUAAUCUGCAAAUGUAAUCAAUUAUCCAAAGUGAUAUUAGGUCGAUUAAUUAAGAAAAUAAUGAAACAAAACAAUAUAACUAACUCACUCUGUUCGAUCGAGUAGUGGCAAUCUUCAAAAAUAAGUAAGCUGCAACUAUUAUCCAAUGAGCUUAAGUAAAUUCCCACUCUGUGCACUUAGAGUGACCACACUUCUGGUGUAUAUAUAGAUGUAUAGCAAAUGAGCAAUGAAAAAGGACAAGAGACUCGGAAGACUAUGCCACCAAAUACUCCAUUAAUUCGAGGCAGAUUCUCUGUCCUCCCACUUUUCGUGCCCUCUCCUGCCCUUCUGUUUUGUGUGGUCACGGUUAAGUCACGUCAACAUUUAAUAUUAUUUUUUUAUAAAGAUAAUAAGACAAAAAUGAAUAGUAAUAUAAAAUGUUGACGUGGCUUAACCGUGACCACACAAACAGAAGGGCACGGGAAGUGGGAAGGCAGAGAAUCUGCCACCCCAUUAAUUUCCUAGUCGGUGUUAACUACGCGAAUUCAAUAAUGGGAGAGUUCUAUCCCUAGGAGAAAUUUUUCAUUGUGACUGGAACACGGGUGGUACACCACGUGUUUUUAUAUAUUUCGUAGUGUAGAUACUAUUGUUUGUUAAUUUUUUUUAAUUAAAUUUAUAAAAACAGUCAGGUUAUAAUACAAAAUAAUCUUAUUUACGCCCUUUUAAAUCUAAAUGCCCCAAGCAGUUUCGUAUGGCGGUAUGUAGAUAGAAGCCUCUCCCGUUAAUUAUUGAAGACAAGAAGUGUAUGGCUGAAACUAGGGAUAGAAAGAUUUUCCAGUGUGACCGGAACACGGAUUUGGUACAUCACGUAUUACUAUACAAAUGGUGGGAUAUGUGUGUUAAAAAAUUAAUAACUUAAAAAAUAAAAUUUCUCACCACUUAUAUAAAAACACGUGAUGUACCACCCGUGUUCCGGUCACAAUAAAAAAUUUCUCCUAGGAAUAGUACUCUCCCAUUAUUGAAUGCCCUUGCCCAAGAUUUCAACCGGAACACGGGCGGUAUCUAAUUUUACUCUAAAAUUUAAAAUUUAUUAUCACAUCAUAUUAAAUGCCCUUGCCCACUUUUAUUGUUUUUUUAUUUUCUUUCUAAAAUUCCUACUUUAAUAUCAAUUAAGGCUUAAAAAUAGGAAUUUUGAUUUCUACAAAUCAAUUUAGAAUUUUAAAAUGGAAGAUUUUUAAAUAACAUUUUGUUAAUGAGAAAUAAACUGUAUAUUAAAAUUUCUACAGAUAAUGCACAAAACCAAACAAAUGUAUUAAUAUGUUGACACAUUAAACAAUAUACUAUAACAACAACAAGUAGUUUAGUGGUAAGGGCGCAAACUGCGGCUUCCCAAUAAACAAAAAAAUAUGGGAGGUCCCAGAUUCGAUGCUCCGAGUUGGUGAGUUUGUGUGACUGUGGUCAUGGUCAGGGUGAAAUUACUAGCCUCUCCGGGCCCGAAAAUGGUGGACAAUCGUGGUUUGCCACUAGUUGUCCCCCUUUUAUAUGGGAGAAAAAUAAACAAUAUACUAUAAAGGUGUAUAAAUAUAGGUGUAUAAAUAUAGGUACAUAAAUAUAUAUUCAUGUACAUAUAUGCAUAUAUAGGUACACAUAUAUACAUAGGUUCAUAUGUAGAGGUAUACAAAUGUGUAUAUAAGUGCAUAUAUAUUGGUACAUGUGUAUACAAAUGUGUAUAUAAGUGCAUAUAUAUUGCUACCUCUACAUCCCCAAUUACCAUAACCCACAUUAACACCACCACCAUUAUCGCUACCACCAACACCACAACCAUCACCACAAUCACCUAUGACUGCAAGUCUGCAACCACCACAUCAAACAUGGCUAACAAGAAGAAUCAUAAGUAUAAAGUGGAGUUGGAAUUUUUUUUUUUUUUUUAAGAUUGAAGUGCAUACAUUAUUAGAAAACACACACACACACACAAAUAUUAAAAAAUUAUCUUAGGAGUUCCUAGAAAUUUUUUAUUCUAAGUUCCUAGAAAUUUUUUAUUCUAACCAUUGCUCUUUAAUUUAGGAAAUUAAGUGAUUACGAACUAAUAGAAAAAAAAUUUAUUUGUCGAUUAGUGUAGAAUAUCAUUUGAAAUUAAAAAAAAAUUAAUAAUGAAAGUGAGAAGCUCCUCUUACUCCUCAAACGUCAAAAACUCAAUGCAAUUUUGCUAUCCUAAGUGCAUAGUAAGGUGCAUGACGUCGAGUGACUAGAGAGAGAUUCCCAACUCCAAAUCUAAAUUAUAUCCCACGUGAACUUGAUGAUAUUUUUUAGGUAAAAGUUUUGACAUGUACGAGAAACACAACACUAGCUUUAACACCUCACGGUUCCACCUUGUCAAAACGUACUACGCUAUACCUGAACAGUCCACAUCAGACGCGGUUUUUUUGGACACUCACUAGUCUCCGCUAAUAGAAUUACCGACAACAGACACCGUUGUUUUGGGCACACUCUCUAUUCACCACUACUAGAAUCUCCACAACAGUAAUCAGGCAUAGUUUUUCUUGGCCAUACUCAAUAAUGGUACCGUCAUGUACCCAACAACGGCACAGACAAUGUGGUUGAUUGAUUCGGUGUCGGUUAAAAAAUCAAAUAUGAGACCACCAUUGCAAUGAUUAUUUUGCAUUCACACUAAAUGCAGGUUGGUGUUUUUCUUGGACCAUCUUCAAUCAUUGGCCUAAAACUUAAAAUUUUUAACCUAAAAAAUUUAGGUUUUAAUUCAGAAACAACUUGUCUGCUCCAACCCUUAUAACUUAAAUUUUUUUAACCCGAAAUUAUUAAAGAAUAAAUUUAGGCUAAUUUUUUUCUUUUAAAUACACUAUCCUAAUUUAAUUUUUUUCUUUUAAGUACCCAAAAAAUUAUAUACACUAUCAUAAUUUAAUUUUAUGAACAUUUUAACCUAAAAAUAUUUAGAUUCCAAUAAAUAUUGAAAAAUCACUAAAUUUGGGUGAAUUUUGAGUUAAAUAAUUUUAGCAUUUGGAUUUAAAUUUGGGCCGUUAUAUAUAUAUAUAUAUAUAUAUUACCGCUAGAUUUGAUUAUAUUCGAUUUCAGCCGUUGGAUUCAAUAAAUCCUGAGGGACAUGCCCAUGUGGGUGGGGUCCUGCUAGGGGUGCCCACACCAUUUUCUAGGCUAAAUCCUGGGCUAUUUCUGGCUUUGUUUUAGGUUUUAGGUUUUAGGUCCAAUUUUCCACUUGGGUUGGGUUAGAUUUAGGAGGGGAAUAGAAGGGGAAAAAUAGGUUAUAGGUCAGAGUUGAAGAUGGUUAUUUUUUGUUUUCCAUCUUUUUCUUUCUUCUUUGCCCACCACAAAACGAUGGCCACUCAAAAUCCACGAAUCACAAUUCAUAUAUUUUCUGUCUGAAUGAACGAGUGGUGUCUGCAAUCUGCAUCAAGCAUGAUUCUCAAUUCAUAUACCUUUUCAGAAAGCCAGUGUUUACUGUGCACAUAGUUUCCAAUGAUUGAUAAUUUUCUUUUAAAAUGGAUAUUAGGGCGCCUCUUGCAAAAUUUAUGCUUGUUCUCAUCCAUAAUUAAGUUAAAUUUUGCAUAUUGAAGAUUGUAAUUAAAUGACGAACAUAGAUCAUAGCUAGUAAAGUAUUUUGAACGAGCUAGUGGCGAAGCAGCCAGUAAUUUGUUGGGUGUUCAGCUUCAAUCCCGCACCCUAGCUAGGAUCCCGAAACCAAAGCAUACACAGCUCAGAUAAAUGGAAGCAAAAAGGAAGCCCUUAGAGCAUUUUUAUCAAUUUUGAAAGAUUUGAGUCUAGGAAUGGGGUUGGGGCAAAACCAUCGGGAUCCUCUUGACUCACUAAUGUGAGCCGUUGGAUUUUGAUCCAACAGCUACAAACAUAGGAUUUUUUGAAUAAUGAACUGCUUUAGCCUCUCAAAAACCACUCUCCAUGCACCCAUUUUGAAUAGUAAGCAAUUGUUAUUUACAAUUAUUAUUACUUUUCAUGUUUGAUUUAAUAAUUUAAUAAUUAUUCAACGAAAAAUGAUUAAUUAUAAAAUAAGCCCAUAUUUUUAUUUUCGCUAAAUAAUAUUAUUUAUGAAUGAAUAGUGGUUUCAGUUUCUAGUUUCAAGAUCAUGAUAUCUUUUUUAAAAAUGAACGAUAAGACGAGUCAAACUCAUCACAUUCGUCACGACUGGAAAGAUGGAUUUUGGCAUUUUAACUUCGUUUAGAGAGUUAAAAACAACUUUUUAUUUUAUUUUAUGCAUAUUUCAUGUACUUUUAUAAACUCACAUCAUUGAUUUCUAAUAACAUUUUUAGUGACUAUGAUUUGUACUAUGUAUCCAUAUCUAUUCAGAAAUCUUCUUGAGAUUUUGAAUAAGAUUGGAACGUAGAAAAAAAUGAUAUUUUAAUAGAAGUUUUGGUGUGAGGAGUGAAGAAAAUGAUUUAAUAUUUAUAAAAAAAAGUAUUCAUAUACUUUUUUUUAUUUUUUAUUUUAUUUUAUUUCAAAAAAAAAUUGUGACCGUUAGAUUGAAGUGUGAAGAUUGGUAUUUACUAUAUAUAUUUACACAUUGAUAGUUUACGUAUUUUUAUCAAAUUUUUAUGUAUUAAUUUUGUACAUAAAUGUUUGAAACUUCCACACAUCCUCCUAUAUACGUGCAUUACAUUUUACUUCUUGUCAUCAAAUUGGAUUGGUUAUCCAUCCGUAAAACCCCAUCUCCAAACUGAGCAAGAUGGACACUUGUACUGUUGUACACUCAACUUGUCGAACUCUAUUUCAUUUAGCCAUGUGUCCAUGUCCAUCCAAAAUUGUACCACCUAUAUUACUUGGCCAACUCUCUUUUGGUUGGAUAGAUAUAUGUGCAAGUUAAUAUUCAUCCUUUAUUGUAUUUUAACUUAGUUCCUUAACUCCUAGUGGCCGACUUUAUGUGACAACGAAAAUCUUUUUUGUUUAGAUGAAAGAUGUUAACCAUUCAAUUCUUAAGUUUGUUUUUUUUCCUUUUUCCUUCAUACAAAUGCAUAUGUGUGUAAAAUAGUAGUCAAAAAGUAAUUGUUGUGCAUCUGAUAUAUCACAUUUCAGUGCAUCUUAAUUAUGUAACAAAUCAAAUGAAAAUACUGUAAUCCACAAUAAUUACUAAAUAUUUCUCAUCAAAUUUUAAAAUAGAUCACCAAGCUGCAAGGUACAACCAUUCGCCGUAUGUUUAUCAGGUUUUCUUUUUUCUAACUUUUGAUGUCUGUACGUACCUACUUCGCGUAGUUGUUAAUUCUGCCUUGGCUUCGAAAUUAAACAAAGUAUCCCAUGCUUCUUUGGCUGUGGUUUUGUCCUUUAUAAAUUUAUACGUUUCAUCCCCGCAAGAACUCUGGAUGGGAUGUAAGGCCUUGACAUCCUUCUUCUUCCAAGCCUUACGUUCUUCUUCUUCUUCUUCAAGAGGUUCAUGGGUGCCUUUGACAAUGUCCCAAAGAUCUUCGGCUAACAAGUAGGUCUUUACCCGAGAACUCCAAUCGUCAUAGGUUUUUUACGGUUAAGCAUUGUAGGAACAAUUGUAGCUGUCAUGUUCAAUAUGCCAUUUAUUCAACGAGAUUUCAUAUCAAUCAAGCAUCUGUGACAAAAAAAAAAUGGCAAGAAAAACAAAAUGAAACAAAGUCAGUCUGUCUAACAACACUUGAGGAGGGCUAGUGUCGUAUUGGAAAUCAAGCACUCUUGUGACCUUGGUCACCUAUAGGUUUGAGGCUUCCCGUCCCUUUUUCCCCUAGAACCCCCACCUAACUAUUGAAAAACAACAACACUACAUAUUGAAUUGGGGCAAUACGAGUCUGCAGUUAUGAGCUUUCUAAUUAGUAAAUUAGUAAUUAUCCUGCACAUUUGCUCAUAGAUUAGUCAGAUGACUUCCUUUAAUUGCAACUGAAAGAAGCACUUAUCACAUUAAAGUCAUUAAUAUCUCCUUGAUAAAUAAUCGAGAACCCGAUACGCAAUCAAAUUCAAGUAUUUUGGAUUCUGGGAAGCUGCUAGAGUUGAUGUGUAAACACUUUUUGCAGAUUGCUUGAUUGUCAAUUUUAAUUAAGUCUUAUUGAUGCAAUGCGAGCCAUGGAUCAUAGUCUAUGUGGAUCACUUAUUUUUUGUUUUAGUAAGUUAGCUCAAGCCAUCUCUAACCGAGGGCUGGCCAGAGGGCUCGUUUUAGCCAUCUGGCCCUCCAAGAUUCCCCAAGAUAUUAAUAUUUUAAUGAACAGUACAGGGCAAUAUUUACGUCCGUCUCCAACCGAGGGUCAAAAGGCCAGAGGGCUCGUUUUAGCCCUGUCACAAAAAACCAUCUCCAACCGAGGGCCAAAGGGCCAUAGGGUCAAACAUAAUUUAUUAUUUAAAAACUACAACUAAAAUGUUGUUUAAGCUUCAUGUUGUAUAAUUUUUAUGUUAAUGUUAUUUAAUGUUGUUUCAUAUUGUUUAAUGUUGUUUCAUGUUACUUAAUUUAAUUUAAUGUUGUAUAAUGACUUAGGAAGUUAUAGGAAAAAAAUAGAAUUUAAAAAAAAUAUGAAACAAAUUUUGUCAAAUAGAAGUUAUAGGAAAAAAAUGGAAUUAAAAAAAAAAUAUGAAACAAAUUUUGUGAAAUAGAAGUUAUAGGAAAAAAAUGGAAUUUAAAAAACAAUAUGAAAUAAAUUUUGUGAAAUAGAAGUUAUAGGAAAAAAAUGGAGAUGGUUUUAGGGCUAUUUUCGGCUCUCUGGCCCUCUAGCCUAGCCCUCGGUUGGAGACGGUUUUAGGGCUAUUUUGGGGCCUCUGGCCCUCUGGACCUUUCAGUUGGAGAUGACCUCAUGUUAUUUGUCAGUAUUUCAUAGGAUGACUAGAUUUGGUUUGUGUUGAUGUAAGAGAGAUUGCUCUCCCUCAUCUUUGUAAUGGUAACAAAUUCACACACUUCGUGUGAAUGAGUUUGAUGAUGAAAUAUUCCAACUGAAAAUCAUCUCUGCAAUUUUCUGCAUAUCUCAUCUUCUUCUCAAAAAAUCAAUAUCGAAAAUCAUCCCAUUUUCUUUCAAGUUCUUAUCAUAAUUAACUACAAAUCAACAUAUAAACACUAACAUGGCCUCCAAGUUCAAUUGCUUAAUCUGGGCGUGAAUCUGUUAUUUUGUGCAGUGGGAAAAAUCAAACUUGAAUCGAGCUUCGCCACAAUGAAAUCGAGCUUCAAAAACUAUUGGGUGCUCUAGAUACGAGUCUAAUAUGGCUGGAUCGACUGAUUUUGAAUUUUCCAUUAAAAUUCCUACCCUAAUCAUCUAUUAAGCCUUAAAAAUAGAAAUUUGAGUUCUACAAAUAAAAUUGAGCAAUUUAAAAUGGAACAUUUUUAAAGAAUUAAAUGAGAAUUAUAAACUAUAUAAAAAUUUGUACAGCAAUCACAAAACCAAACAAAUAAUCUAAUGUACAGGCAAUCACAAAACCAAACAAAUAAUCUAAUAUGCGGACACAAUUAUUUUUAUUUAUUGGGUGUGAUUAUCAUCCAUCUUCGAAUUCAUACAAACCCUUGAUUCUAUGUCACUAGUUAAUUACACAAAUUCUAGUUAAUGGUUAGGCAAAGAAACAACAGUCAGUACUAUCACAUCCUAGCCCGGGCCUCCACCACAUCUCGGGCUUGACUCCACCGUAGCAUGAUAUUUUUCGCUUUGGGCCCCGAUCACGUCCUCAUGGUUUUGUUUCUGGGAACUCACACGAGAACUUUCCAGUGGAUCACCCAUCAUGGGAUUGCUUUCACGCUAACUUGCUUAACUUCGAAGUUCUGAUGGAACCCGAAGCCAAUGAGCUCUCAAAGGGCCUCGUGCUAGGUAGAGAUAGGAAUAUACAUAUAAGGCUUACAGAAUCCACUCCCUUAAGCGAUGUGGGAUAUUAGAAUCCACCCCGCUUAGGGGCCCGACGUCCUCGUCGACACACUUCCGGUCAGGGAUUGGCUCUGAUACCAAAUUGUCACAUCCCCGCCCGGCCCCCACCACAUCCCAGGCUUGACUCCACCGUAACAUGAUAUUGUUCACUUUGGGUCCCGACCACGCCCUCACGGUUUUGUUUCUGGGAACUCACACGGGAACUUCCCAGUGGGUCACCCAUCAUGGGAUUGCUCUCGCGCGAACUCGCUUAACUUCAGAGUUCCGAUGGAACCCAAAGUCAAUGAGCUCCCAACAUGCCUCAUGCUAGAUAGAGAUAGGAAUAUACAUAUAAGGCUUACAUGAUCCACUCCCCUAGGCGAUGUGAGAUGUUACAAGUACUGCUACGCAGAGCUUGUUCAAUAUUCAAGAAGCACUAAAAGUAUAUAUGCAAAAAUGUUCUUGCUGGAGAAUUAAGUUUUAUAUCAGAAAUAUAACAAAAUAAUACACAAUUUAUAUUUGGAAGAUUUUAUUUCUAAUAUUACCGAAGAUUUUGAUAAACAUAAUAAUGUGGUUUAGUAAAGACAAUUUUAGUAACGUUGGGGGUAACUCAUGCUAAGCCAAAAAGUUUAUUAUAACCUUAGGGCAUGUUAUUCUUCCAAUGUGUUUUAGGCACGAUUUAUUAGGGGCUUUCGAAAAAAUGCGCUAGUUGUUACUUAAAGGUAUUGAUUUAAUGUCCAGUCAUUUGAAAAGAUGUGGGUUGACUCCAGUACUUUGGGCUCUCGAUAAGACUGUUGUUUAGAUUCAAUAUAAUGAAUAGACUAGUUUUUUUUUUAGAAAAAAAAAAAGAAAGAAAGAAAAAAUAAUAUAUCAGUUUUUUAUGGGAAAGUCACUUGUGAAGAGGUGUGUUGGAGAAUAGAGUUUGACAUUGGAAACCGAGGCAUUUCAUAAUAAAAUCUCAUACCAAAUAAUAAGUGAUUGACUAAAUUAGAAACAAUAUGAAUGAUAUUGGUGGUCAUACUAAACCUUUAGGUUAUAGCAUUGUUUAUUGAUGCAUCAUUGGUACUCUUAUGUUUUUGUAUAUUUUCUUAUAUGCCACCAAUUCAUUACAAUAUAUUUAGGUAUGAGCAUUUCUGUAUAGGGGUGUGCUAUUCACACACCCCUUUUUACUUCUCACACACCCUUUGUUAAUUUCUGCCCUUUGAUCUUCUUUAAUUCAGUCGAUCCGAUGACCGCAAAUUAAGAGGCUAUGUAUGAAGUAAAAAGGGAUGUGUGGAUAGCACAUCCCUUCUGUAUACUAGGUUAAUAUAAUAUCUUUAGGUACGGACACUUCGGUAUACUAGUUUAGUAUAAUAUAUUUAGGUACCAACAUUUCAGUACCUUGGUUUAGUAUUAUAUAUUUAGGUACGGAAUUUUCAAUAGACUUAUGUUUUUGCAUAUUUUUUUAUGUGCCACUAAUUAACUACAAAACAUUUAGGUAGUACAAUAUGUUUACAUAUAGACAUUUUGGUACACUAAUUUAGUAAAAAUAUAUUUAGAUACGGAUGCUUAGGUACACUAAUUAGAGGAAGUUAAAAUAAAAUUAAUGAAUUCAAAUGUGUAUAAUAUAUAAUAAAUUUAAAAUUUAAUGUAAUGACAUUAAAUAAAAUAUCUAUUAAAUAUUAAAACAAAAAUAUAAUAUGAAUUUGAAUUAAGUACACAUUAAAGGACUAAAAUCAAUAUCCAAUCUAAUUCCAGAUUUUUAUUAAAUUUUAAUCUUCUUUAAGGAUUAAAGUUUAAAAACCCUUUUGUUUUUUCAAACUAAUUCCAGAUUUUUAUUAAAUUUUAAUCUUCUUUAAGGAUUAAAGUUUAAAAACCUUUUUGUUUUUUCAAACAAAGUAGAGCUAAAGGACUUUUAUUGUGGAGGGUAAUAGGUAAUUUUAAAAAUGGAAAAUAUGAGGAGAAAAUAAAAAACAGUGUUGAACUAACCGUAAUAAAUCAACUUUUCCCAGAAAUUGGGUCGGCUUCCACUUUUGAAUGCAGAACGGUCACUGACCAAUGUUACUAAGGGGAAUUCUCAGUCAUGAUCUUUAGCCAUGGCUAGUUGUGGGUAACGCUGAAUCAAAUCUCACGCAAUAUCUAUAUAUAAUAGAAAUGUGAAAAACAACAAUGUAAGUAUGCAGAUAAAGGGGUGUGAUAUCCACACACCCCAUUUUACUUCUCACACACAUUUUUAAUUUUCGGCCGUCAGAUCAGAUGAAUUGAAGAAGGUCAACGGAAAGAAAUUAUCAAAAGGUGUGUGAGAAGUAAAAUAUGGUGUGUGGAUAGCACACCGCGCAGAUAAAAUAUGUAACCAAAAAGCUCACACACGGGCAAAAGAAGAUACAACCAAAGAGCUCUGGCCUAGCUUCAUGAUCAAUCGGGACUGGAUACGCUUGAUAAAGUGACCUCUCAUCUGAAAAUGGAAAUCUUGAUGUUCGGAUAUUACCAUCAAUUCUUAAUUUGUCUUUUCUUUUCCUUUCUUACAAAUGACUAUGUGUGUGAGAAGUUCAGCUACUAAUCAGAAUGCUUUAUUAAUCCAUAAUAAAUACAAAAUAUUCCCCAUCAAACCAGAACAGUACAACCACUGCCGUGUGUGUAUGGGAAUUGGGAUAAUAAUCAAGAUAUCGAUAGUGAUGCUCACGGUGUUCACAUAUCUAGAAAGUUCAAUUCUACUACUGGUUCUCAUGGGAAACAUUGGUACACUAUUUAAGACAUGAUUAACAAUUUCAAGGCAGUUUAUUAUUUAAACUCUUGAGUAAUUUGUGACCUUUCAGUUAACAAUAAACUCUACAUAAAAAAUAUAAGUACAAAAGAAAAAAAGUUGUCAAUCUCAUGAAAAAAAAAUCAACUAAAAACUAACUGCAAAAGGAAGGCAAUCAAAUCAAUACUCCUCCAAACCAAGAUAAACCAAAAAGUUGGCCUUUCAACCUUCGAGUAAACACGAAUAUCAGCCUGAGUUCUCCUUCUCAUCUCAUCUAUAACUUACCUCCUUGUCCAAGGAGGCAUCCAAGUACAAGAAGCCUAGUAGUGAUUAUGCCUUUAUCGGGGAAUUCACUUGUUCUGUUCUGAAGCUCAAGAAUUGUCUCAAUGGUUUGUGAUCUGGGAUUCCACAAGGCCUGAAAAAGUAUGAGCAAGCUGAUCCACUGCUAGCAUAUUCUUGAUCCACAGGCACCACCAAACAGUUGGUGCAUGGUACGUUGUCCAUGCAAAUAACACUUCUAAGCCAAUAUGAAAAGAAGUUAAAGACAGGAAAUGGCUGUGUAUCACAAAAUGGCAUACCUCAAAAGCAGAGACGUGAAUGACACUUUCUUCUGAAUCCUUUGAUGCAUCCUGAGCAUGAAUACUGGCUCCAGUUUGCAGUUGUAAUUGUUUUACAUUAAAACCGCCCUUGCCAAUAACCCACCAAAUUUCCCAGCUCAACACAUAAUUUUCAUGAAAACUCAGCUAGAGCUAGAGCUUCACCCCCAUGUCCAGGAGGAAAACCAUUAAAACCACCCCGGACAAAUCCAGAACGGUUUUCAUAUCCUCCUGUCCAUGGCAUUGGCGACAUAGUGUGGGAAGGAGCCCGAUUAGACAACAUCGGAUUUCUAGGUGAAAGGAAAGGCAUAGGAAAGCCUGAAGGAGGCUUGUCCUUCCUAGGAUUCUGAUGCAGUAGAUUAGACACUUCAUAAAGUGCCCUCUUUGUCAUAUUUUGUUUUGCAGAUAUCUCUCACUUUUGUUGAAAGUUAAUAUAGGCACCAAAAAAUAAAUAACAAAGAACUUUUCAUGUGAGUUUCAUAUAAGCAUGUUUGGAGAUUGAAAGUGACCAAGCUACAAAAUCAUAUGCUUUUACAAAUGUAAAAAGAAGACAUGAAAAGUCUCAAUACACCCACAAGUUUCCAGCGGCAGACUUCACUGGCACAAAGUGACUGCAUACGUGGACCACUGGACCUUCAUUCGUAUACAUAGACAUAUUUAGGGUAUAUAUUUUGAGCACCAAUAAAUUUCCCAAUAACAACAUACACAGCUGGGAACACAUAUUAAAUUAAAAACAACAAAAAUCAUUUCUAACACAAAAAUAAGUUUGAAAAAAAAUUAACUUUAAUCAACAGAUGAGCUCAUACGAUGUCAUAAGAUUUGCUAUAUUAGCUCAAUCAAAAGUCUAAUUCCAUCUACAUCAUGUAAAAUCUUCUUUUGGAACAUUAUUUCCUGUGUUAGAGAACAUGCAAGGAGCACAAAAAUAGAAAGUGUACCAGCACCAAUUCAUCAGUUUCCAUAGCACAAGUUGGAAGCUGAUCUGCAAGAAGGACAGCCAACCAUAUUGUUUGGAACUAGAAGUCUUGUGGUGACAACACGGUUCUCGUUGUCAUCAUCAAAUGUAACUCCACCAAAACGAUCUUCCUCUACAAUCCUGUCAUGAACUUUCAACAGAGCAUCCUGGGCAGCACAAUGCGGCUCCAUUUCAUUUCCAUCAGCUAAAUUUUCAUGGUUAUUUUGUUUGCUUGAAAUUUUUGUUGGAGAGCUAUUGAUAAUAAUUACUCUCUCAUCUGAGCCAAGAACAGAAUCAGAAACCUUAAUCUUUGCCGGGGGUCUCCUCUAAGGGCUUUGCCACCCUUCCCAAUAACACCACCGAUCUUUUUAGAAGGGCAGAGAAUGUUAGUUUAUAAGUGUAUUUGCUGAAAUAUAAUAAGAAGUCAGUUUUAAAUAUCAGCCCUUGGAUCAUAGUCCAAGUGUGCAGCUAAGAUGUAAUCUUAGAUUAAUUAAUAUUUCCUCUUGCUACAUGUGCUAAGUGUGUGUGAAUGAAUGAAACAGUGCAGAGUUCGUUUCUUCUUCCUCAAGCUGAAUUCUCUCACUCUCUCUCUCUAGAUUUCUUACUCUCUUCCUUUCUUCAGUAUUUUAUAAAUUGAUUGAAACACUCAUACAAGAUCAUAGUCUGUAUGCUAACAUGGCCUCAGAGCCAGGUUCGAUCAAUUGAUACUGGGCGUUUGGAUCUGUGAAGAGAGCUACCCAGCAACUCAAAGCUGCGAUCGAGUUGAUUGCGAUCUGAGUCUAACAUGGCAGGAUCGGGUAGUGGUGAGGUGAGAGCACCAAUUUUCAAUGGUGAAAAUUAUGAGUUUUGGAGUAUUAAGAUGAAGACCAUUUUCAAGUCCUACGGAUUGUGGAAUCUGGUUGAAAAGGGUUUCGAUGAAUCAGAUCUGAAGAAGAUUGAUGAAUCUGAGGCGAAGAAGAAAGACAAAGAAGAGUCUAGUGGUGCUGGGAGGAUGACGCUUGUUGAGGUGCUCAUGAAGGAUGCUAAAGCUCUGGGUCUGAUUCAGGGCGCUGUUUCAGAUGAGAUAUUUCCCAGAAUCUCUCAUGAAGAAACUUCAAAAGGCGUAUGGGACAUUCUGCAGCAAGAAUACCAUGGUGAUAAACAGGUUAGAAGUGUUAAAUUGCAAGGUCUUCGUAGGGAAUUUGAAUAUACCCGAAUGCGAGAUGAUGAAUCACUUUCUGUUUAUCUUACAAAACUAUUUGAUCUGAUAAAUCAAAUGCGGAGCUAUGGAGAGGAAUUAUCUCGAGAGAGAGUUGUUCAGAAAUUAUUAAUUAGUUUGCCAUCAGCUUAUGACUCUAUCUGUUCUGUUAUUGAGCAUUCGAAAGAUUUGGAUGUGAUUGAGGUACAAGAGGUGGUGGCUUCUUUGAAGAGUUUUGAGUUAAGGAUUGAUAGGCAUUCUGAAAAUAAAACUGAGAGAGCAUUUGCUAGCCUUAGUGUGAAUCCCAAACCAGUUAAGUUUACUGGAAAUCAAAAUGCCAAGUACCAUAAGAAUUGGAAGGACAAAGGCAAGAAGUGGGAUAACAAACCCACAGAUGGGGCUAGAAAUUCUUGUAAGCAUUGUGGCAAGCUACAUUUUGGUGAGUGUCGAUUCAAAGGCAAACCAAAAUGUUACAACUGUGAUAAGUUUGGUCAUCUAGCAAGGGACUGUAAUAGCAAGAAGGCAGUGCAACAGCUUAAUUAUGCCACUCAGGCAGACUCUACACCAAUCAUGUUUUAUGCUAGUAAUCAAACUAAUACUAGUGUAAAAGGAUGUGAAGAUGUAUGGUAUGUAGAUAGUGGGUGUAGUAAUCAUAUGACUGGAAGGGAGGAUCUACUGGUUGAUAUUGACAAGUAUGUGACUGCAAAGGUUGAAAUGGGUACUGGACAGCUUGUUGAUGUAACUGGUAAAGGAAGUCUUAUGGUUGAAACUAAAAUAGGCAAGAGAUAUAUCAAGGAGGUUAUGCUUGUGCCUGGAUUGAAAGAAAAUUUGCUCAGUGUAGGUCAAAUGAUGAAGCACGGUUAUUACUUGGUGUUUGGAGGUCAUAAAGUAGAGAUCUAUGAUGAUAGCUCAUAUUCCAACUUGAUUGCCAGAGUACCAAUGAAGGGAAAUCGAAGUUUUCCAAUGAAGUUACAGUCUGGAAUACAUAUUGCCUACAGGGCAAAUGUAUGUCCUUCUACUGCUAUGUGGCACAGAAGAUUGGGUCAUCUGAACAUGAGCAGUUUGAAAUUGAUGCAGGAACAAGAAUUGGUGGUCGGGUUACCGGAGAUCAAAGUAAUUAAAGGAGUGUGUGAAGGCUGUGUUCUUGGCAAACAAUGCAGAGAAGCAUUUCCAAGAGAAGCCACUACUAGAGCAUCAUUUCCUCUUGAGCUUAUACACAGUGACAUUUGCGGACCAAUGCAGACAACUACAACAGCUGGAAAUCGAUACUUUCUCACUUUUAUAGAUGACUGCACCAGGAUGUGUUGGAUUUAUUUUCUAAGGCAUAAAUCUGAAGUUCUCAAUGUGUUUAAAAGGUUCAAAGCUACUGUAGAGUUGCAGAGUGGAUAUAAACUGAAGAAAGCUUAGGAGUGAUCGAGGAGGUGAAUACACCUCAAUGGAAUUUAACAGAUUUGUUGAAGAUGUAGGCCUGGAAAGACAACUUACCACUCCAUACACACCACAGCAAAAUGGUGUGGCAGAGAGAAAGAACAGAACCAUCGUGGAAAUGGCUAAGUGUCUUAUGUUGGAGAAGAAGGUUCCACUUGAAUUCUGGGCUGAGGCAGUCAAUACCUCUGUGUACAUUCUGAAUCGAUGCCCAACCAAAGCCUUACAUAAGAAGACACCUUUUGAAGCUUACAGUGGGAGAAAACCAGGAAUUAAGCAUCUAAAAGUGUUUGGUUCUUUGUGUUAUGCUCAUGUGCCAAGUCAACAGAGACAAAAACUCGAUUUGGCAAGCAAGAGGUGUAUUUUCUUGGGAUAUGGUAGUUGUGAGAAGGGAUAUAGACUGUAUAACAUUGAAUCUGGAAAGGUGACUAUUUCCAGAGAUGUUGUGUUUAAUGAAGAAGCAUGUUGGGAUUGGAAUGCACAGAAGGAAAGAAGGGAGAGUAUCCAGAUCAUUGAAAUGUCUGCAGGAGAACAAAACUGUGAAGGAAGUGCUUGUGAUUCUGAAACACAAUGUGAAGUCAGUGAAGAGAAUGUUGGGUCAGAUUUAGUUACUGAGCUAUCUGAUCAAGAAAGAGUGACAAGUCCACAGGAUUUUGAUCACACUCCUCUCAAGUACAGAAACAUUGCAGAAAUAUAUGAAAAGUGUAAUAUGUGCAUAAUAGAACCCGAAUGUUUUGAAGAGGCUGCCAAGGAUGAAUCAUGGCAGAAGGCUAUGGAAGAUGAAAUCUCUAUGAUUGAGAAGAAUCAUACUUGGGAUCUUGUUGAUAGACCAUUUGAUAAACCAAUCAUUGGAGUCAAAUGGGUUUAUAAAACAAAACUAAAUCUGGAUGGUUCAGUGCAGAAAAACAAAGCACGGUUGGUUGCAAAGGGGUACUCUCAGAAGCCUGGAAUCGAUUUCAAUGAAACUUUUGCACCUGUGGCAAGACUUGAUACUGUGAGAACCUUGGUGGCCCUUGCUGCACAGAAAGGAUGGAAAUUAUUUCAGUUAGAUGUAAAGUCUGCAUUUCUAAAUGGAGUGUUGAAUGAAGAGGUGUAUGUGGAUCAACCAUCUGGUUUUGUUAUACAGGGCAAGGAAGACAAAGUGUACAGGCUCAGGAAAGCUUUAUAUGGUUUGAAACAAGCUCCAAGAGCUUGGUAUGAAGAAAUAAAUUCCUAUUUUGCAAAGGCUGGAUUCCACAGAAGUCCGAGUGAAGCUACUCUUUAUAUCAAGACAUCUCACAGUGGCAUUCUUAUUGUGUCACUGUAUGUAGAUGAUAUUAUUUACACAGGGAGUUCAAAGGAGAUGAUAGCUGAGUUUAAAGGUGAGAUGAUGAGACAAUAUGAGAUGACUGAUCUAGGAUUACUUCACCAUUUCCUUGGUCUUGGAGUAUUGCAAACAGAUAAUUACAUCUUCUUGCAUCAAAAGAAAUAUGCAAAGACUUUGCUUGAGAAAUUUGGACUUAGGGAUUGUAAGCCGGUUGCAACACCAUUAGCUAUGAAUGAAAAACUUACAAAAGUAGAUGGAAGUGAUCUGGCAGAUGAGACUUUAUAUAGACAAAUGGUGGGAAGUUUGCUAUAUUUGACAGCAACAAGGCCAGAUAUUAUGUUUGCAGCAAGCUUAUUGGCUAGGUUUAUGCACAAUCCUACCAAGAAGCAUAUGGGGAUAGCUAAGAGAGUUCUGAGAUACAUACAAGGCACUGUGACCUAUGGAGUUGUCUAUGAAAAGGGAAAAGGAGCAGUGUUGGUUGGUUAUUGUGAUAGUGAUUGGAGUGGAAGUGAAGAUGAUAUGAGGAGUACAUCUGGCUAUGCAUUCAAUCUUGGUUCUGGUGUGUUUUCUUGGGCCUCAAUCAAACAAAGCAGUGUUGCUCUUUCAACUGCAGAGGCAGAGUACAUCAGUGCAGCAGAAGCUACUGCACAAGCCAUUUGGCUAAGAUUUGUACUCUCUGAUUUCGGGGAAGAACAAGCAGAACCAACUAAGUUGUUGUGUGAUAAUACCUCAGCAAUUGCCAUAUCAAAGAAUCCAGUUCAUCAUCACAAAACCAAGCACAUUAAUCGGAAAUUUCAUUUCAUCCGAGAUGCACUUCAAGAUGGUGAGAUUGAUCUGGUAUACUGCAAGACUGAAGAGCAGGUUGCAGAUAUAUUCACUAAAGCUUUGGCAAGGGAUCGAUUUGAAGUACUGAGGACAGCUUUGGGAGUGAUUUCAGCACAUCACUUAGAAGGGAGUGUUAGUUUAUAAGUGUAUUUGCUGAAAUAUAAUAAGAAGUCAGUUUUAAAUAUCAGCCCUUGGAUCAUAGUCCAAGUGUGCAGCUAAGAUGUAAUCUUAGAUUAAUUAAUAUUUCCUCUUGCUACAUGUGCUAAGUGUGUGUGAAUGAAUGAAACAGUGCAGAGUUCGUUUCUUCUUCCUCAAGCUGAAUUCUCUCACUCUCUCUCUCUAGAUUUCUUACUCUCUUCCUUUCUUCAGUAUUUUAUAAAUUGAUUGAAACACUCAUACAAGAUCAUAGUCUGUAUGCUAACAGAGAAUACGAUACACAGUGUUGAGCAAUUGAUAAUCCUCUGAAGGUUGCUUACGGCUUGAAUCAUUCCACUUUCCUUUCUUAUAGUUGUUGUUACCCCCUCUUCUUUUAAACUGGAUAUUACGGCAUUUCUUGAAAAAGUUUCGAUUGUUCCCAUCCAUCAUACCCCUCAAUACUAAAAACUAAUAACUGAAGGGAACUGAAUUUUAAGGAAACCUUAAUUCCUGGAUUAAAAAAAACAAUAACAAAAGUCGCCAUUACUGCGAAAGAGCCUAAUGCCAUCCUAAUUUUCUCGAGCAAUGAAACUGGGCUCAUCAUUUACAAUUUCGAACUGAACACUAAGUUAAGCAAAAGCUAUUGAAUUCAGGGAUUGCCAAUACAAAAGUUCAACUAUACAUUGUAAAGCUUGUAGUUAAAAAACGUACUUUGAUCUAGUAAAGUAUUUCCAACGAGCUAGCGGCCGUAAUUCGUGAGCGUUAGGCUUCGACCCAUCGCCCUAGGGUUCCAAAAACCAAACAUAUUCAUACAAUAUCAAAUUCAAGCAUUUCCUUUUCUGGGAACUAACCAAAACAAUAAUGCAAGACAAAAGUUCGAAUCUUUAGUUAAUUAACGACAGGAAACAAUAAAUUAGAUGGAGGGUGAUCGGAGAAAUGAGAAGAACAUAGCACAGGCCAGUCAGUAAAACUGUAAGAUUAUCGUUUGUGGGAAAGUUAAUGAAUGGUUUUUACCUUUUUACGUACCAGAGCGCGCGCGCGCGAUGAAUCGAGGUAAUGGAGCUUGGAGUCUUGGACUUGCAGAGUUUUGCCUGUAUUUUUUUUCGGUGGAAAAGGAGGUGGCCUUCGACCGAUUUCGAAUUCGUAGGAAAGGCUAAGGCCAUCUCUAACGACCGAAGAUUGGUAAGAAGAUUCGUUUUAACUCUUUGGUUUUUCAAGAUAUUAAUAUUUUAAUAAAUAGUACUUGAUUAUAUUUGCCUCUGUCUUCAACAGAGGGCCAAAGGGUCAUAGGGCUUGUUUUAGCUCUGUCACAAAAAAUCGUCUCCAACCUAGAGUCAAAUGGGCAAACAUAAUUUAUUAUUUAAAUUUAAAAACUACAACGGUAACUAACUAAAAAAACUGAAAAAAUUAGAACUAAAAUUUAAUGAAUGGUUUAGGUAUUUAUAGGAAAAAAUUUUGAAUUUUUAAGAUUUUUUUUAAAGGCCCAAAAAACCAAAAAAAAAUAAUUUUUGAAUACAAUAGCUAGUCAGCUAGCUGUUGGAUUCAAAUAAUCGACAGGAAUACUCAUCACUCUGGCCCAGCCCUGGUUGGCUGGCUGACUGCUUGUGGCCAGCCCUUUGACCCUUUUAGAUUCUGUGGAGCCCACGAGCCCUCUGGCUUAGCCCUCAGUUAAAGACAGUUUUCGGACUAUUUUUGGCCCUCUGGCCCUCUGGAUCCUUCGGUUGGAGAUGGCCUAACUUAACUUCGACCCGUUUCAAAUUGGACACGUCACAAAAGGUCCUGGACCAAUUUGAAAAAAUUCCCAAAAUAUUGGAAGACCCUUCGUGGAUUUAGAUUUUGCAAUAUACUCAGAAUAUAAAUCGGUACAUUACGUGUCGUAAUACAAGGAGAGAAAUGCGAAAAAUGUAUAUUUAUCCAGUAUUCACUUAUAUUAUAACACGUAAUGUACUAACUUGUAUUCCAAAUAGAUAAAAACAAAUCUCCCUUUACGGGUGUUAAUUCCAGCAUCCAAUGGAGUUGAUCCUUGAGGGAUAACUAAAGAUUUCAUUGUUUGAAACUUUAAAAUAAGGGAUAAAAUUUAGUGAGUCCAUUCAAAUAGGAGUAAACUGUGGUUUUACUCCAUCAAUUAUUUCUUCAUCGACUUCUACAAGUUAGGUUAUUAUUCUUACAAAGACAACACCAAACUAGAUUUCUUCUCGCUCAGGAAAGCCCCAAGAGCAUUUAGCACUUAACUAGUUUGGUAUUUUUCAUUGUUCCUGUGAACACGGAAAAUUCCUGAAACGAAAGAGACAAGAACAACGUGCACAAACAAAUAUUUGUAUUUUUGAUGAUUUUGGGUUACAAUCUCUCUCUAUUUUGAUCCUCUGAUUCGAUCUCCGUAAGGUGUUGAUUUGUGGGAUGUGCAAUUGAUCCAAGGGCCGUUGAGGCUUGAUCUUGGAUGAACGAGGAUGAACGGAUCUUCAAGGGCUUUUGGGCUUGAUCUUGAAGAAUGGUGAUUGACGGAUCUUCAAGGGCUUUUAGGCUUGAUCUCGAAGAACAGUGAUGAACGGAUUUCCGAUGGCUUUUGGGCUUGAACUCGAAGAACAGUGACGAACGGAUCUUCGAGAGCUUUUGAGCUUGAACGGAUCUUCGAGGGCUUUUGGGCUUGAUCUCGAAGAACAGUGAUGAACGAUGAACGCUUUCUUCAAGGGCCGUCGGGGCUUGGGCUUGAUGAACAGCGGAUGAGUGGAUUUGUUGGUGUUGUCGAUCCAAAGGGGCCGUUGGGGCUUGAUCCUUGAGGAUGAACAGUUGAUGAACGAUGAACGCUUUCUUCAAGGGGCCGUUGAGGCUUGGGCUUGAAGGUGGAUGAUUGUUGAUCCAAGGGCCGUCGGGCUUGAUCUUGGAAGAACGAUGAACGAAGAACGCUUUCUUGAUUCUUCGGGAACCUGGAUGCUUGAGAGCUUCGGAGUUUCAGAGCUUCAGAGCUUCAAG
rnacentral:lncRNA from 1 species